GCUAAGGUCGAGCUGGGUACCUCAAACUCCAAAACUAUAAUAAAUUAUUAAUUUCUUAUUAUAAUAUUCUGCAAUAUUCUGCUUCUUGUCCCGAAAAUAUUUUGCUGUAACAUAAGUAAGAACCUCUCAGGAGUUCUGGUUUUAAGAUUAUAGAUGUAGUAUUAUUUAUAGCCAUAGGGUCGUCGCUACUCUCUAGAGGGAGGUGUGGAGGAAGGUGGAACAUCCCUCCGAAUCGUCAAGCAGUCGGCAAAUUAAUUCAUGAAUCCAAGUCAGUAAAUUGUUUUCGUAGUCUGCGAAACAUGAAUUGGAGAAUUGGAUAGGAAGAGAAAAACCU